AUGAACGCUGGCGGCGUGCUUAACACAUGCAAGUCGAACGAAGCAUCUCGCCCGAUGAAGUGGAGUGCUUGCACAAAGCGGAUUCAAUUGAGAUGACUGAGUGGCGGACGGGUGAGUAACGCGUGGGUAACCUACCCUUAUCAGGGGGAUAACAGUUGGAAACGACUGCUAAUACCGCAUAAGCGCACAGUAUCGCAUGAUACAGUGUGAAAAGCCUUUACGGAUAAGGAUGGACCCGCGUCUGAUUAGCUAGUUGGUGAGGUAACGGCCCACCAAGGCGACGAUCAGUAGCCGGCCUGAGAGGGUGAACGGCCACAUUGGGACUGAGACACGGCCCAAACUCCUACGGGAGGCAGCAGUGGGGAAUAUUGCACAAUGGGGGAAACCCUGAUGCCAGCGACGCCGCGUGAGUGAAGAAGUAUUUCGGUAUGUAAAGCUCUAUCAGCAGGGAAGAAAAUGACGGUACCUGACUAAGAAGCCCCGGCUAACUACGUGCCAGCCGCCGC
rnacentral:rRNA from 1 species